rnacentral:lncRNA from 1 species
GAAUCUAGGUCAAAUAGCUGAGGUACUAAUAAUAAGCAGUUCUGUGUAAUCUAUGAGUUACAUUGAACAGUAAAUCCAGCCUGUAGGAUCCUGCACAGGCUUUGUUCUGUGCGAGUCUCACAUAAAACUAAGCCAGAGUUGCCCAGAUUGCCGUAGACAGUCAAAACUCAUCUAGAAUCACUCUUCCCAAAGUGUGUGCCUCCUCUGUGAGCACUGCAGGUGCAGAAAGUAGUAGGGGGUCUGCAGGCUAAAGUUCUCCCCAUCCUUGUUUAAUCCAUUUUCUUUCUAUCCCUGAAGAAAGAGGCCUUGCUCACCACAUCACGUAGCUAAAAGCAAAGAUGCAAGCGCUUCCCUUGGAUCCAAGAAGAAAGCUUGCUUUUCUGAAAGAUACUGGGAGCUCUGGUUCUGUUCUUCACUGCAGCGUGGUCUGUGAUGUGAUAAUAGCUGACAUGCACACCUUGAGCUGGGUGUGCUUCUUCCCCCCACACACAAUGCAGUAUAAUGAGGAGUGCUGAUGUCUCGUUGAACCCCCCAGGACAGCCUGACACAAGGAGUAGAAGGCUUUGUCCAGGUGUGCUGGGAGCACUGCAAUCAGGCAGCUGGUGCCAAGUGGCCAUGCAUGUAGCAUCAGAUAACAGCUGCUCAGCUGAAGAUCUUUGCACCUCUGUGCAGUGCCAUCAGCAUUGUGACAAAUGCAAUCCUGAUGGCCAUGGUCUGAAGGGCAGAGCUGCCCUCACUCCAGAGAAGGAGGAGGAUAAUAUGGACUUCUGGUGGCAGGACGGGAACAAAAGGUGGACUCCAAGCUGCACAGCUUGCUGCCAAUGGCACUCUACUCACAGCCCUCUUAACAUUUCUACUCCAACUCUCUGCAUAAUAAAGAGCUACUGUUUUUGCUGCCUCCUGCUUUCCCUGAACAACUGAAAGCUUCUAGAUCAAUAAAAAGUAAGUGAGUUUUCA